rnacentral:rRNA from 1 species
GUCUAUGACCAUGCCACCAUGAACAAGCCUGAUCCCGUCUGAUCUUGGAAGCUAAGCAGGUUCGGGCCUGCUUAGUACUUGGAUGGGAGACCACCUGGGAAGGCCAGGUGCUGUAAGCA